UCUCUGAAUUUUUCAUGAGUGGGCAACAGUUUUCUAUCCUGCUAGUUCAAUUUUCACGAUGAUUUAAAAAGCAAACAGAUGUUCCCGGGAAGAAAAAAUUGCACCAUACAAAGUAAAAGGAUUACUGAAAACGAGAAAAGAACAGGAACUGCAUGAGACGAGGAGUUAAAACCAAGGACGGGCCUGGCUGGAGGGAAAGCAGAGGAGAAUCUGCCCUGGCGAACAAGAGUCGGUGCAGCCUUUGGAAGGAUGGAGUACGCAGAGCUGGUGGUGGCCUCUUCUCCCCUUUCCGUGAGCAUCUCUUCACGCCGUGGAGGAGAUCUGAAUGACCAGUUCUUCUUCAGCUUAUGCAGUGUGUUCUAUUGAGCACCCGGAUCUCCUGGGCAGACCUCGUUCUCUAAGUACGCUAACUGGGGGUAAAAGCAGCGGAACAGAUAUUUCUACUUUUUCUGAAGGACAGUAUGCUAUGAGAAAAAAAUUAAAAUACAAUUUAAUAGUUCAGUAGGAUUUUCUUGAACAUAUAGUUAGUUACUCAUCGCUAUUUAUAGCACUAUCAUUUGAAUAUCCCUAAAGAUGCAGUCAUCAGACUUUUUUUUCAUUACUGCUUUGAAGAACAAACCCAUACUUGUUUUAACAAGUCACAUCAUGGGAGAUGUUAUUCUACGCUCUCCACCCACACAACCCUGGGAUUUAUUUUCAUUUGAGAGCUUGUUAAACAUAGCAGCAGUCAAGUGAAGAAACCAAUGUUCCAAGACACAAAGGAUUCACACGGAUAAAUCAUGAACUCUAGUAGUGGGAAAGAACCAUCGUUGCUUUGAAAUGGAAUGGUCAGUAGCACUCUUCAAAGCUGCAAGAGGUUGGCUUUAGUUUUUAGUUUUGCGACACCGAGUGACUAAUUGCAUUAUAUCUAUUUAGGUUCAUGUGUUCUCUGUCCACCUUUCCUGUACAGACAGGCCUAAGGGGAGGAUAGAAAAAUAAAAAGCAUUUGACAAUCGCAGAAGUGACAAACUCGCGGUAGAAUUCAAUCCUAUGGUAGGACGUGAGGGGCCAGAUUUCACCCCAUCUCAUGCAUGUGGGUGUUUGUGUAGCUGUCGCCAGCAGUUACGCCAUGGCAGCACUGGUCACCUUUGCAGAUGGCUCCAAGCCAUUCUGGGGUCAACCAGCUGCAGCAAAGAACAGGACACGCUUCUCUCGCCCCACCCUCGCAGCAGCUCACUGCAACAUACAGGGCAGCUAUUUCCCUUAGCAUCUGAUGCAUUUUCUUAAGCCAGCUGCUCACAGUUGUGAAGCAGCCCGAGAUGAGGCUAAUCCUAGCAGUGAUGUUGACAUUCAGAGGUAUCCAGUGCAUCAGAAGAUUCGUGCCAUGGUUUCCCCUAGGGGCAGCAUCCCAUCAGCCUUGGGAAAGGGCUUUUAAUUCUAAUGUUUGUGCAUGUUUCUUUGCAGUUUUUCAGUGUGCUUAAGUCUCCUAUUAAGGGAAUUACAAGUUCAGUAUGAAACUUCUGGGAUAUCUAAAAUACGAAUAUUGUGAAGACUUGUUAUUCUAAGUCAGAGGUAUUUGGAAAUAUUUAUGCCAGUUGGGGAGACAGCUUAAUAUUUAGGAAUUAGCCACUCACAUUAUGGGUCCAGUCUUACUGCCCGUGAAUAACAACUUAUUCUCUUCCUCCUUGUACAGUUUUACCCUACUUAACUCUAGAACAGAAUUUAUACCCCCCCCAAGAAAGUUCCGAAUUUUUACUUGGCUUAUUUUUUUUCCUUUGUAAAAUACUUUAGCAGCACCAGCAUCAGCUGAGCAGGGAUUUUGAAGCUAUUUCCUAAGACAGAACCGCUUGCUUCAAGGGUGCAAUUUUUUCCCUAAAUAUAGUUUUUCCAACUGCAUAAAGACAUAACUAAAAUAAAAUUCUUUCUCCUUUCAUUCCCUCACUGUGGCUACAGUGUAUUUUGUGCUCUCAAGUAGCAGGGAAGCUCAACAGUCCAAAAGAGGAACUUCAAAAAUGUUUUUAGCAGCAGUGAUUUAGUAAGUGCUGUUCAGGAAACAUCUCCUGUAUGGCUCCCCACUCCAGUCAGUGCUGCCAUUUCUGGUUUAGGAUUAAUGAAUGUUUCCUCUAAAGUAAAGAAAAUGUGCUCCUGAAAUUUAAAAAUUCAGAAACUGCGGCCCUCCCAUUCAUGCAAUCCCUACUGGCAGCAGGAGCACUGCGGUGAGUCACCUGCUCCAUAUGCCCGUCUGUCUGUCUGUCUUCAACUGAGCAGGCCUAAUGGUAUGUUUAGUAUGCAGGAACAAGAAGAUGUCUCAGAAGAAGUCAAUGCAGUCACGCUUUAAUGUGUUUUUACAUCCUUUUACGAUUCACAAAGCCAGAAUAUAAGUACUUAUACAUUUUUAAUAGGAAAGUAAUAUAUUCCCCUAAAAGAAAAAUAGAUUUGAUUAACCAUUUGUCAUAAAAGUUGCCUGACAGUUGAAACUUCAAGCUUCUAAGCUAGAAAAGCUCAAAUAGACAAAUUAUACUGAAAUGUUCUUUAAAGACCAAGCAGCUGUUUUAUUAAAAUAUUAAAUUUACAUUUUAAAAAGAAAUAUUCUGAUUUAUUAUUCAAUUAUGAUAAUAUUAUUGAAGUGACAUGAAAUUCAUGACCAUGGGCUUUAUUCUGUCCAAAUUCUGUCCUCAGUUACCCGCAGGCAAUCAGUUUUGCCAUUAUUUAGAACUGUGCAAGAUCACACACACAGAGAAGCACCAUUCUGGAAAGACAAAUCCAAGACACUGGAUUUCAACUGGAUUCUAAUUUUCCCCAGAGAAAGUGGGUUUUCAGGUCUGGGACUAGGGCUGGAUCCAGCGCCUGCUGCACUGAGGCCCUUGGGUCAGACCCAAAGGACCCAUCCAAACCUCACUGCCACAAGAAACAGAAAAAGGAUUUCAGAAUACACCAACUUCGUCCCGCAGCACAAGUGAAUGACCUUCAAACAACUUGAAGCAGGUUGAAUUUACAUUUUACUUCAAAAAAAAAAAAAAGGUAAAGUACAUACAUGAGGGGAAAACGGGGUGAACAACAAUUAUCUGAAACCAGGUUUCUACCAUUUUUACCUACAGUUACCAACUGCAUUUGAAUCAGGCGGGCUCUUGCCAGCUGUCGCACACUUGCUUACAAUAUGAACAGGAUUGUGGAUCAAGGAAACAUUUUCAAAGUUGAGGCCCAAAUGGAAAUAGUAAGAUAUCAUACACAGUGUAAGUUUAUAGUACACAGCAUUUUUUUUUAAAUGACGUAAUGUAACAGCAGGAAGGAGUAGUAGUAGUUAACAGUUACUAACACUAGAAUAAUCAAAUUUGUAUGUUAUACAUAUACAGCAACUAACUGCUUUACAAAAAAAAGCAAAAUAAUACAAUAUAUUGUCACAUGUAUUUACAGUGUAGUAAAUAUACUUUUCUGUCAAAUUUUACACAAAAACUAUUUACAGGUGAAUAUACGGCAUUAAAAAAAAAUUGUGGGACCAACACGAAAAGUGACUUUCUGUGGUAAGUUUGUUGCAUAACAAUAAGACGUGCUUCAUUACAUUUGAAAAAAAUUAACCUUAGAAUGAAACAGAAAAAGCCCUAAAACCUACAACCCAGUUAGGAAUAGAGCACCGGGACGCUCCCAGGUGCUCAGUCCACAAAACUUAAUUGAAAUGUUUCCUGUUCUUGGAAACCUCAUGCACAUUAAAGCAGAAACAUUGGCAUAAUUAACAGGUAGGUUAUGCACUACUCAAAUACUACUGAAUUAUCUUUAAGUCGGGGAAAAUACAAACACAAACAAAAUGUUAAUCAUCUUUACAGUACUUAACUGUAGUUAGUGCGUAAUGGAUAACGUGUUCUAAAACAGGGGUGUCAAACAUACAGUCCCCACGAUGUAGUUACAUGGUCCGCAUGUUAAAACCAGAUUUUUCUGAAUCUAAGUUUUCAUUUCAAAGUGCGCAGACUCCACGGCUGCAGUAGCCCACGCAGCAGUGACUGCCCGCGUCUGCAGGCUGCCUGAAACAGCGAUGCGAAGGUCGGAACUCUUAGAUCUGUCUCCCACUCGCUAGAUCAAGUUUCAAGCCCACAUCGUCACCAGCAACCACCUGCUGAUCACUACGAGCAUAAACAGAGUAACAGGAUGAGGAGAGAACAGGAGCAGGCUGGGCUGGGAACUGAGUGGUGCUCACAGGAACGAAACGGAGCAGGAUGGAGAAUAUUCAAAACGGGAGAAGAGAACAAAUAAAGGAGGAUGUGAGAAAGAAAACAGAAAGGCAAAACAGCAGCAAUGGCCGUUACAGGGAGCAGGCUAGGUGAUGAACGUGACAGUAAGGCACUGAACAGCUCAUUACUAACAGAAGUUUAAUCGUUGAAGAAAGGCCAUGUCUUCCCCUUGAUCUAAGCACAAGCUUCCCAGCUACUGGUACUGGGGGAUGACUUUCCUGUGUAUCGGGGCACACGUGAUUCCAAAUUAAACUUUGGCCAUCGACUGUAAUUACACCCAAAUUCAGCCCCCAUGACCUAACAUGUUUGACACCCCUGCUCUAAGAAAGUUCAGGUCCUCUCACUGAACCAUGCAGUGAAAACAUUAAAUGAUGCCCCCUCCUUCCAGGAAAUAGAAUAAAUUAAAUUUUGUUGACUUACUUUAUGAAGAUAGCAGGUUUUUUCAGCUGGGACUGAGAGCCUGGAGUAGUUCUAGUUCUCAGAUGAAAGGUAAUUUUAAUUGCUGUCCAUUUUGAUUUCGCAUUGUAUGUAUUUCAAAGAAUGCAUUAAUUCUAAUUGAGGGACACUUUUUUUUUUUAUAUAGGCAAUGCAAAAUAUUGAAAAAGCUGCUCUCAAAUGCACCCAAUCCAAACAAAACCAAUUUGGUAGUUCAUCUGGAAUUACUAUUUCUGUUUAAAGAAAAUCUGCUCGUAGGAGAAACAACUGAAAGCUGUAUUUUUCUAACAGCAAAUUACCUUUACAAGAGAUUCUUUUUUCCUCCUAACUACAAAUGCUCAGGCUUCCACAAUUCAUUGUCUUCAGCAAAACGGAAAGGGCUGGACUUCGCUUGAUUCAGUACAACCACGUGCAAACUGGCAGCGAUGCUGAAGGCGGCUAUUGGCAAUUUGAUGUAUGAGAUGAGAACGGUUUUUAAAUCGGUGACUCCCAACGUGUUGCAUGCGUAGCGGCGCAGGACACGGCACGAGUCACUGCUCUACCCCUGCAUGCAGUUCUAGCCUCACGAUCCCUUUCACAGUUCUGCAUCAGCUCAGUAACCACAUUUCUACUGCAGCUCCUACACGACCAAGAAUUAAAAAAACUGGUUAAUUCCAUGAGUCUUCGUAUUUUCCAACGUAUCUAUUUCAAGACUGCGAAUUCUAAGUUUUCCCCUUGUUUUGGCAAACUAUUUGCAUAUUACGUUUGUGUUCAUAGUUUUUCCAGGACUGUAAACAAAUUAAAGAAAUUAAAUUGUUAUUUUAUGAAUCAAUACAAUAAAGGUAUUUUUAUUUACAUAAAUGUUACAUUGUUACUGUGUGGAUACAUGUGAAUUAUGUGCUAUAUCAAUAAAAUCUGAACACUUACUUGUACCAUUCUCUAAUAA